UACGAAGGGGGCUAGCGUUGCUCGGAAUUACUGGGCGUAAAGGGCGCGUAGGCGGACAGUUUAGUCAGAGGUGAAAGCCCAGGGCUCAACCUUGGAAUUGCCUUUGAUACUGGCUGUCUUGAGUUCGGGAGAGGUGAGUGGAACUCCGAGUGUAGAGGUGAAAUUCGUAGAUAUUCGGAAGAACACCAGUGGCGAAGGCGGCUCACUGGCCCGAUACUGACGCUGAGGCGCGAAAGCGUGGGGAGCAAACAGG
rnacentral:rRNA from 1 species